GCUGCUGUAGCUCAGAAGGUAGAGCAGAAGACUGAAAAUCUUCGUGUCACAGGUUCGAUUCCUGCCAGCAGCACCA
rnacentral:tRNA from 1 species